CCUACGGGCGGCUGCAGUGGGGAAUAUUGGACAAUGGGCGAAAGCCUGAUCCAGCCAUGCCGCGUGUGUGAAGAAGGCCUUCGGGUUGUAAAGCACUUUCAGUGGGGAAGAAAGCCUUGGGGCUAAUACCCUCGAGGAAGGACAUCACCCACAGAAGAAGCACCGGCUAACUCCGGGCCAGCAGCCGCGGUAAUACGGAGGGUGCGAGCGUUAAUCGGAAUUACUGGGCGUAAAGCGCGCGUAGGCGGUCUGAUAAGCCGGUUGUGAAAGCCCCGGGCUCAACCUGGGAACGGCAUCCGGAACUGUCAGGCUAGAGUGCAGGAGAGGAAGGUAGAAUUCCCGGUGUAGCGGUGAAAUGCGUAGAGAUCGGGAGGAAUACCAGUGGCGAAGGCGGCCUUCUGGACUGACACUGACGCUGAGGUGCGAAAGCGUGGGUAGCAAACAGGAUUAGAUACCCCUGUAGUC
rnacentral:rRNA from 1 species